GAGUCCAACUUCAUUGAAAGAGAGUGAGCUCUGUGGAUGCCCAGUACCAUACAGUUCCAACUGUGUAAAGCCAGGGGAAAGAUGUCAUUUGUAAAUGGACAGAGGUGCCACCUGGGAAACAAACGGAUUACCAUGGAAGCUAGCAGGGAAGCCAGGCCAGAAAAUGGAGCAAUUACAUGGAUGUGCGGCCACUCUGAAUGACAGGCAUAGUUCAACUGAACGGGAUGCACUGAGCAGACCUCACAACCCAGCCCUGCUGCUUCCAAUUUCUUAUCAGAUCAUUGCAUCCACAUCAGAGCAUCCUUGAAGGCAAGAAGUGCCCAGUACCAACUGCUGGGUCCAGACCUUGCCACAGGAAAGGUCUGACCCUGGAGCAGAUGAGCAGGAGCUUCCUUUCCAGCUGUCAGAGAGCUGCUUCCUCUGAGGUGCCUUUGGUCCCAAGGAGAGUCAUGAACUGAUGCAUUACCGUUAAGAGAACUGAUUUCGGCAGCUGCAUCUGUUUAAUUGGGUCUCUCAGCAGAACAUGACUGUAAGAGGGAGCUUGGAGGGAAGUAAGAGAUCACUCAGGGCUUCUUGUAUCCCUUCUGAGUGCUGGAGGAAAACAUUGCACACAAGUUCUCUACAAGGCAUUUCUGCUGAGUAACACAAUGAAUCAUGAAGGACAUUUUCUAUGAGAGCUUGUGCAGCUCAGACCCAGCUAUAGGAAGAGACUGAGUUGAAAACAGAAAUAUGUUGAAAGUACAAGCACUCACUUCAUUGUUAAACAGUGGUGAUUUGUUUGUUUUACCUCCAUGUAAAGAACUUACGCUCUGGAAGAACUUACACAGGCUUAAAUGGUGAGUCAAGGUUUGGGUUGCUGUAAAUUCGGAUGCAUGUUAUGUCCACAAUCCCACCUACAUCACAGAACCUGGUGGAUAUUAAAGUGGUCUAAGUACUUGGGCAGUAAAAGCCCCAGUAUUUUUCCAGACAUCUGCAUGUUUAGAACAGUAGCAGGGCUAAUUUUCUGUGGGACCAUGUUGAACU